GCCACUCCGGUAUAUGUCGAUACGGAUUCGUAGCCUAUCGAAGGAUAUUAUAGGCUAUCCAUACCCUACUUCGACUCAGUACGUCCAGGGCCUAGUGAAGAAUAUCACAUCUCCCCAAAUAUAUGAGCUUGGAUAUGCGGGAAAACCCAACCCCUUGAGGAGAUGGGGUAUAUGAAUAAAUUGAGUGAA
rnacentral:ribozyme from 1 species